rnacentral:rRNA from 1 species
UACGAAGGGGGCUAGCGUUGUUCGGAAUUACUGGGCGUAAAGCGUGCGCAGGCGGUGAUGUAAGACAGAUGUGAAAUCCCCGGGCUCAACCUGGGAACUGCAUUUGUGACUGCAUUGCUGGAGUACGGCAGAGGGGAUGGAAUUCCGCGUGUAGCAGUGAAAUGCGUAGAUAUGCGGAGGAACACCGAUGGCGAAGGCAAUCCCCUGGGCCUGUACUGACGCUCAUGCACGAAAGCGUGGGGAGCAACAGG